CUUCAUAACAAAAACAUGGCCACAUCCGUUGGAUUAUUCCGGUAAAAUUUAAAUCAAACAACAUUAUCAAUUGCAACAUUACAACAUUGUCAACAAUUCUAUCUGAGAGAACAUUACAGCAAUGGCUUCCAGUAAUUCAAGCCAGAAGAAACCUUUCCAGCGGUGUUGUCCCAUCUGCAGUAAUGUCAUUAGUGUUCGUCGACAUUUCUGCAACUGUGGACACAGCUUUAUAGAU